rnacentral:rRNA from 1 species
UCAGGAUGAACGCUAGCGGCCAGGCUUANCACAUGCAAGUCGAGGGGGNUAUAGUUUUUUCGGAAUUAGAGACCGGCGCACGGGUGCGUAACGCGUAUGCAAUCUACCUUUCACAGAGGGAUAGCCCAGAGAAAUUUGGAUUAAUACCUCAUAGUAUAGUUUUACCGCAUGGUAGUAUUAUUAAAGUCACAACGGUGAAAGAUGAGCAUGCGUCCCAUUAGCUAGUUGGUAAGGUAACGGCUUACCAAGGCAACGAUGGGUAGGGGUCCUGAGAGGGAGAUCCCCCACACUGGUACUGAGACACGGACCAGACUCCUACGGGAGGCAGCAGUGAGGAAUAUUGGACAAUGGAGGCAACUCUGAUCCAGCCAUGCCGCGUGCAGGAUGACGGUCCUACGGAUUGUAAACUGCUUUUAUACGGGAAGAAACAUCACUACGUGUAGUGACUUGACGGUACCGUAAGAAUAAGGAUCGGCUAACUCCGUGCCAGCAGCCGCGGUAAUACGGAGGAUCCAAGCGUUAUCCGGAAUCAUUGGGUUUAAAGGGUCCGUAGGCGGUUUAAUAAGUCAGUGGUGAAAGCCCAUCGCUUAACGAUGGAACGGCCAUUGAUACUGUUAGACUUGAAUUAUUGGGAAGUAACUAGAAUAUGUAGUGUAGCGGUGAAAUGCUUAGAUAUUACAUGGAAUACCAAUUGCGAAGGCAGGUUACUAUCAAUAUAUUGACGCUGAUGGACGAAAGCGUGGGGAGCGAACAGGAUUAGAUACCCCUGGUAGUCCACGCCGUAAACGAUGGAUACUAGCUGUUCGGAGCAAUCUGAGUGGCUAAGCGAAAGUGAUAAGUUCCCCCCUGG